GGCACUAUAGCCAAGUGGUUAAGGCAACAGAUUAGAAUACUGUGCCUUUUGAGGAUCUAUCUGUUACUCUCUGAGUGCGUAGGUUCAAAUCCUGCUGGUGUCG